CCUACGGGCGGCUGCAGUGGGGAAUAUUGCACAAUGGGCGCAAGCCUGAUGCAGCCAUGCCGCGUGUGUGAAGAAGGCCUUCGGGUUGUAAAGCACUUUCAGCGGGGAGGAAGGCGGUGAGGUUAAUAACCUCAUUGAUUGACGUUACCCGCAGAAGAAGCACCGGCUAACUCCGUGCCGGCAGCCGCGGUAAUACGGAGGGUGCAAGCGUUAAUCGGAAUUACUGGGCGUAGAGCGCACGCAGGCGGUCUGUCAAGUCGGAUGUGAAAUCCCCGGGCUCAACCUGGGAACUGCAUUCGAAACUGGCAGGCUAGAGUCUUGUAGAGGGGGGUAGAAUUCCAGGUGUAGCGGUGAAAUGCGUAGAGAUCUGGAGGAAUACCGGUGGCGAAGGCGGCCCCCUGGACAAAGACUGACGCUCAGGUGCGAAAGCGUGGGGAGCAAACAGGAUUAGAUACCCUAGUAGUC
rnacentral:rRNA from 1 species